rnacentral:rRNA from 1 species
UACGUGAGGGGCGAACGUUGUUCGGUGUCACUGGGCUUAAAGGGCGCGUAGGUGGCUGCGUAAGUAAGGUGUGAAAGCCCUCGGCUUACCCGGGGAAUUGCGCCUUAUACUGCGCGGCUUGAGGAUUUCAGGGGAAGGGGGAACUCCAGGUGUAGCGGUGAAAUGCGCAGAUAUCUGGGGGAAGGCCGGCGGCGAAGGCGGCAUCCUGGACCGACAUUGACGCUGAACGGCGAAAGCUAGGGGAGCAAACGGG